ensembl:lncRNA
GGCCGAUCGCUUCUGUGUUCUGUUACUAUGGCGGCCUGCGCCUUUAAUUUCGCUCUUUUGUUGUACUAGAGAAAAGCAGAAAGCUGAGAACAAGGACGGGAAAGUUCUGGAGAUCCUUCAAGCAAAAGACGACAGAAUCCGAGAGCUGGAGCAGAAAGUGACGGCACAGGAGCAGGAGGUAAACAGCCGAGUCGAGCGGUGGCGUGGCAGUGAGGAGGAGUGCGGUCUGAUGAAGAAAGAACUGGCAGCUCUGCAGCACAGACUGGGGAAUAAGAGUAGACAACUUAAGGUCUGGACAAAUUUACACUGGCACCACUUUUAAAGCUCUGCCUCUGUGCCUGUGACUCCGGGAAGAGAGGGAGGGGAAAAACUGACAAGCCCCUGGAGGCAAUCGCCUACGGCCUCAGAACCCCGGAUCGGGGCGCCAGCGACAGCAGAGCUCCGAAAAGCAGCUAACUUUCUCGAAUAAAUACUUAAUGAUGGCCAAGCAGGGGAAAAAGUGCGUAUGUGAUGUGACUUCUCCUUAAUUACCUUCUGAUGGGACUGGCAUGAUUAAUUGAUAAAGUGAAGAUCUGGGGAGGAUGCAGGGUCUCUCUUAGCAGAGGGAGGGAAGGAUAGUGAGAGCGAGAGCGAGAGCUCAGCAUCAAAGGCAGGCUGGCAGGACUAAUGGGCCUGUGGAGGAGCUCUUCUCAUUAGAGCUAAAGAUGGCCUUCCUGCGUGGGUUUGGUUUGGCUUGCCCUGUCAGCGCAGGAAGUGUGGAGGAGGCCAGGCGUGCCCUACAGGAAGCCAGACAACAAUUAGAUGCUCAGCACUCGGCCUCUCAGGCGGAGCUGGAGAGAUUGUGGGACCAAGAGGCCCUCAGCAGUUCCAGAGUCAAGAUUUGGAAAAGGAGCUGUUCAGAAGCAGACAGGACGAGCUGGAGACUGCUUUGUCCCUUCAGCUUUCUGCCGAAGAACGGGAAGAAGUCUGCCAAAUCAAGCGUGAGCUCCAGGACCUGCAGCGUCUGUACAGGCCCGGCUCCUUCAGCAGCAGGAGGGCCUUAACCUGGACACGCAGAGAGUCCUGCGCAGCCGAGAGGAGGCCCACACGGCACACACCGUCUCCUUCCAGAAGGUACAGGAGCGCAUCUGUUGUGUGAACUCAGCGGCUGUCCUCACAAGCGAACACGGCGCCCCUAGGGGGGGUGAACUCGUGCUCUAGCAAGGACUAAACUGCAUUAACCGAGCUUGUCCUUCACUGUCUGUUUCUGCUGUGACAGCUCCACAGCGAGCUGAGCGUGUCAUACCAAGCCCAGGAAGAGCUCUGCCAGAGAGAUCAGCAGAUCCGAGAGCUCCAGGCACAGCUGCGGAGCUUCACAGCAGCCGUGGGGCACGCGAGGCUAAAAUGCAAAACACAAGUGCAGCAGGACAGAGAGGAUUCAUGGAAGAAAUUAUUGUUUUAUAAUGAGGAGAACAAGAAGCUACUCUCUGACAUAACGCCGGGAGUGAGAUGAGCAAACACUGGGCUGCUAACAAGAGCCUGAGGGCUCAGUUAGAUGAAAGAGAUCAGACGCUGAAGGAGCUGCACCAGAGGUAAAUGCUCUCUUUCACCCUUCUGCGGUCUUUCUCUUUCCCGUGCUGCGCGUCACGUGGGCAGCGUCUGAUUCCACCGUGCGGCCGACUCCAGCAGCGUCUCUAGAUCUCCAGACCCGUGAAGCUGGCUGUGGAUAGAGACAGGUUGGUGUUUCAGAGAGGGAUGUGACGAUGAAGAGGCAGCUGGUGGAGGAUCUCAGAUGCAGACUAUAGAUCUGCCAGAACACUGAGACGAGCCACAGAUCAGCGGCUGAAGACUUGGAGAAGAAAGAAGGUCCUGCUCCGACAACAGCCGCUCUACUAGCAACCUGGAAUUAAUUAUUCUCUCUGCCGUUAUUGAUUGUGUCACUCAUCCACAGUCUGAACGUCCUAGGCUUCUACGUUUCUCUGUCUGUUUAAAAAUAUCGAAGUAAUUGAAUUGCUUUUCUUUUUUUAGAUGGAAUCUCUCACUGAUGAGGCAGCUUACCGAAGAGAAGAUUGACAGAUGCCACUGCAGAACAAAACCAGCAUGAGGCAACCAGCCAAAAACU